GCUCCACAUCUCUCUCUCUCUCCGGUGUUUGCAAAAUACAAAUGGCUUCCCUUUCUCUUCCUCCUUUCCUCUCUAAACACCACUCCCAUCUUCCUCUUCAUUCUGUUUCAUCCCAACCAUUGAUUUCUUCAUCUUAUCAUCAGCGGCUUCGAUCGAAGAAGAAGGAUUCCGGAAUUACGGUUUCCGUCUUCAAGGCCUCUGUUACAACUGAUACCACUGCUGCCUCUUCCACUCUCGUGUUCCGCAAUCUCCAAGCUGACGAUUUUCGCCAUCCUCUCGACAAGCAGAAUACAUUGCUUUUGAGGACCAUUCCUGGCUUGGAUGAACUUUUCAAGGCUUUAUUAGGUCCAGUUUCAGAGCAAGUCAUGCUUCUUGAGAAUAUUGGGACAUCUGUUCUCGUUGCUGAAAAUCAGCUUUCUGGUCUUCAUCAACUAAUGGUUGAGGCUGCAAAAGUACUAGACAUUGAGGCUCCUGAUCUGUAUGUCCGCCAAAAUCCUGUUCCAAAUGCAUACACUUUAGCUAUCAAUGGUAGAAAGCCAUUCAUUGUUGUGCAUACAAGCCUCGUGGAGCUUCUGACCAGAAGAGAGCUGCAGGCUGUACUCGCUCAUGAAUUGGGCCAUUUGAAAUGCGACCAUGGUGUAUGGCUUACAUUUGCAAACAUUCUUACACUGGGGGCUUACUCUGUACCUGGCCUAGGUGGAUUGAUUGCUCAACGUUUGGAGGAACAGCUAUACCGCUGGAUCCGAGCAGCAGAGCUGACUUGUGAUCGGGCAGCUCUUCUUGUUGCUCAAGAUCCCAAGCAGCAACCCAGAUACCUAGAGUUCAAAAUUCAGCUGGUUGUUGACUCGGGUACACUAAUAUCCCAAUGCAGUAUUUAGCCUGAAGCUCCUGAACCACGAGGAGGUUGGUUUUAUUAAAAUUUCUCGCAAACAGUGACAGCCAAACAUAGUCUCUGGGUUGAGCUCAUAAUAGCUGCCGUUUAUCAUGGCGUAACCCUGCAUGCACUAAAUCGUAGCUGUAAUUCAUGCAAUUUUAUAUAUGGUGAUUGGGUUUUGUACUCAUCAAUGGCCAAACAAAGUCCAUUGUUUGCAAGACAUUUCAAAGCUGUCUUCGUUACAACUAGGCUUGUUAUUUUUCGUAAUGACCAGUAUGCAAUUUCAUUUGAAGAUGCAAUCCAGAGCUUCAGGCAUAAUCACUUCAAAAUACAGAUUGGGGGUCAUCCUUUUAUAUUCAGGAUGGGAAGUUGAAAUACUUAUGUAACCUUUACUUCAUAUAUGCAUGGAAUACAUAAGAUAUAUAGACAACUGAAAGUAAACUGAGAUUCUGAGAACUGCAUAAAGUGUGCAAACACUGCUAAAAUGCAAGGAGAAAAUAUAAACUGAUGUUCUGUUCUGGAAGUGUUAACAUGCAUCUAACAGUGUAGUAUUCUUGUUUAACAUUGGUUGUUUCUUAUUACUGUUCAGCCAUUGCCUUUUUGGCCUUCUUUCUCAAUCACAAAAUCACUUGAAUUUGAUAACAAAUAUCCAUCUCUCAGCAAUAUUUCGAAGUAUUUACUUAGACAUCUCUUGAACAGUAUCCUGAUGUCUUUUAUUUAAACAUUGUCAAAAAAUUGAAAGUAGAAAGUAUGGAUAUCUCCCUAGGCAUGUAUCAAGUGAUUUUACCAAGGGAAAUGUGUAGAAUGACAUAGGUGGGAGUCUUGAGGGGUUUACACAACCAAAAAGUUUUGCCAAUCCCUAUUGAAAAUUUGACAGUGGAUGUUUCUAUGCUUUCUCCAUCAAGUUGUUUGUCCAAUUUUACAGCUUCGGCAUCCUCUAAUUUAUAACCACCUUGUUCUCAUGUCAUCAUUGUAUCAUGAGGUGGUCAUCUCUGUUCUGAUGAAACUAGCUGGGGGCUGCCCGUCCCUCGCCGACCAACUUAACGUGGAUGCAUUUUUAGAGCAAGCUCGCUCCUAUGACAAGGCUUCUUCAAGCCCAGUUGGGUGGUAUAUGAGGAAUGCUCAGACGAGAC